ACAUCCCUAGUCAAGGUCAUGUGGCCAAUACAGUGUAAUACAUCCCUAGUCAAGGUCAUGUGGCCAAUACAGUGUAAUACAACAUCCCUAGUCAAGGUUAUGUGGCAAAUACAGUGUAAUACAUCCCUAGUCAAGGUUAUGUGGCCAAUACAGUGUAAUACAUCCCUAGUCAAGCUAAUGUGGUCAAUACAGUGUAAUACAUCCCUAGUCAAGGUUAUGUGGUCAAUACAGUGUAAUACAACAUCCCUAGUCAAGGUUAUGUGACCAAUACAGUGUAAUACAACAUCCCUAGUCAAGGUUAUGUGGUCAAUACAGUGUAAUACAUCCCUAGUCAAGGUCAUGUGGUCAAUACAGUGUAAUACAUCCCUAGUCAAGGUUAUGUGGUUAAUACAUUGUAAUACACCCCUAGUCAAGGUUAUGUGACCAAUACAGUGUAAUACAACAUCCCUAGUCAAGGUUAUGUGGUCUAGUGUAAUACAUCCCUAGUCAAGGUUAUGUGGUCAAUGCCCUUCCAUAUUCCCUCCCUUACACAUGUAUGCUCUAUUUUUCGAUCAUUAAGCCGCUAUUCCCUGUCUUUUGUCUGUCAUGUUUACUAGUUGGGAACCUUGUUGGGCAUGGUAUAGUAAUGUACUGAAUUGUCUUUUCUAUUGGUGUCGUUUUGGGUUUGUAGGUGUAGUUAGUCUGCGUGGGAGGGGCAUGUUUUGUAAGGUCGUGUACAAAAGUGCCGACACGAGAGUCAAUGUUGACCUUGAUGCGUUCAAUGAGCCUCCCUUGGAGAGCAGAUGUUCAGAAGUCGCCGACGACAUAAUGUAUAUCACAAUAGGGUAGCUUUGUAUAUAUGUAUGUACAAUAAAGGAGACCAGAUCGCCAAAUACAGACAUCAUCGUUCAUUGUCUAGGUUUGCAAUUCACUGUCGCCCACAAAAAUUGUCCAUUGUCACGUCCGUGCGAGUCGUAGUAUACAUUACGUCCCUAUACAUUAGAGGUAGUUCAAAAGGAUGACCAAUGGAUGGGAUAUAAGGUAGAAUUACCCAUUGGUCAGUCAUGGGUAACGACAGAGGUCAAAGACACUGACCGGAUAUGGGUCAUUAUUAUAGUGUCACCGCAUUUCAGAGGACAAUAUGGGGUGUUUGUCAACUUCUGAACAACAACAGAAUGGGAUCUACCCGGGGCGUGAUGUGUCAUACAACAUGCCACAGAUGCCGACUUGGGUUAAUUAGAACUACUGUGUAGACGGUCUAAUAGUCAGACAUCACUUAAUCCAGCAGAUGUACUGAGGUGUAAAGCCCUGCCCGAUCAGUGACCUUCAGGGUAGAGUUGACAGAACGACAGAUGCUGUGUUCGCACCCACUAUAACUGGCCGGUUCAGCAGGACAGCGCUGUCAGACCAGUUACGUUACGGCAGGUAAAUAAGAAUUCUGAUUUAUUGGAAGGCCGAACAGCGACCUAAUGACACAAGAGCUUUGUUAUAGUGUAUACGUGUGCACGUCUCAUCCAAUCAGAACACUCGCCCUUACAGAUGUAGGAACGCAGCACCUGCCGUGAGGGCGGCUCACCUUCCCGGACCGCCCGUUUUCCUUACCUGGACUCACAGUUUACCUGUUACUUUAUAUACCUGGAAACAUGACCCGGUGUAGUCAUGAAUCACACACAUCAUUUGUAGUAGGGACUAUUGUAAAGUAUAAUGUGUAUUGUUAUAUCUGUUUGCAAUUAUAAUAUUUCAUUUACAAAUCUGGGGUUACUGCAUCUAUCGUGUUUUAUACCAAGCUAUAUCACAUAAGGUUAUUACCAAGGUAGUCCUGGUAUCCUCAUUCAUUUAUCUAUGUAGGAUUUCGUUUGAUACUGGUUUAAGCAUUAUGUGUGCAAUUAAUAUAUAAACACAACUAACUUGAUUAAGAUAUGCUGACUCUUGCCACGUAGAUGAUAGUAAGACAUAUGUGUAGAUCUGGUUGUAAGAGAGUGUGUGGGUUUGUGUGUGUACUUAGCAUAUAAAAACCUUACUAGGCACCUGUAUGCAAAAUAUGAGGUGAGCCCCUCCAAUAGGUGGGCUUAUCUUACAACCAACACCCUUCGUGUGUUUGGCGCCAUAUGUCACUAGUUUGUAUCCUGGUUAUACACCAGACAAUAUUUCAUUUGAUUUUAAACUUUAAUAUUGCUAGUUAAAUCAUAAUGUAAAGAAGCGAGUCACCUUGAUGUCAUAUUGAUCUAAAGAUAAAAUUUAACUAAUGCAUGUCCAAACAAAAAUUAUCUAACGUAUGCUUGGGAUCAUAUCAUAUUUACAACAAACUUCCUCUAAGACCAGCUGUUGCUGUAUAGAUUUCAUAUUGUCAAUUAUUUAAGCUGUGGUCGUAUUAUUUGCUUGGUUAAAUAAUUCUACAACACAUGGUAAAUAUUUUAUAAUAUUUUGUCUACGAUGUUUUUGUAUAGACAGAUAUAUAAUCCCCACUUAUCACUUGUGGUAAGAUGGCCUAUACCUACUGAUUCUGUAUCAACACAGAAGGUUCGUUUAUUACAAACUGAGUAGGUUUAGUAGAAGGCAUACAAGUGAAUAUCAUAUCUAAAUGAAUUAUAUAGUAUAUACAGUAAAUAUUGAAAAAUGAAUAAAACUAAAUUAUGGAGCUGUUUCGUCCUUUUAGGACUCGUCAGUAAUGGUAGGAGUCUAAUCUGCUGGAAACACAGAAGGGUAUUCAGGGAAAUAUGAAAUGAGUUCAAUAUCAAAGAACAAAAUGGUAAUUACAUUAACUAAUUAUCGUUAAACAUGUUUUGCGUUUAGUUAUUAUUUCAUUCUCAAUAUUUACCAAAUCAUUGCUUAAUUGUGCAUUUUUGUAAUCUACAUUUUAAAGUUGAUUUGCCGAUUAUGGCAAAUGAAAUAUAAUACAAUGUGUAUAUAAUUAUAAAUAAUGCCAGCCAAUUUAUAGUGUUAUAUACGAAAGUAAGUACUAUAAGUUUAUUUACUUUUUUAUGCUGAAUAAUUAACCUCUGUAUACUGUAUUCUAUCAGUCUAAUCUAUUUAUUCCUUAAUGAUAUUUACUACGUUUCUAAUUUGUUUUAAUGCUUUUCGAAUGUGCAAUAUUUUUGUAUUUUUAUCUAACAUUUUGAAGUUACCGCAGCUAGGUAUAAGUAGUCAAUAUUUGCACUCACCUCU